GUAGGUGAAGGAUGGUGGCAGGUGAGUGGCUGAGCUGUGUAGACAGGUCCCUAAGGAUUUUGCAGGUCCAGAUUUAGAGGCUCCUUUUUGGCUUCUGUUGCUGCUGGUCCCUAGAGGUUCUGCCUUGCUGGUCUGCAGAGAGAUCAACACCCUUCAAACCAGCUGCCUUGUUGGCUGCGGCUCACUUGGUCCGCCUCCUGAUGCCUGCAGUUGUCAUGGAAACCAAAUCUGUUUAUAUGGCGGAUUACAUUUAUCGAUUUACAUAUGUCAAACCAUCCCUGAAUCUUUGGGAUGAAGACUACUUGAUGAUGGUGGAUGAUGUUUUUGCUGUGUCCUUGGAUUCAGUUUAGAUGCUCAGCACUCUCACGUCCUCUAACCUCCUCCCCAUCCCUGUGUUCGUCAAAGGGCUUUGGCACAGCUCCCUAAGAGGCUAGGACUUGGCAGAGAAUAUGCACACAGUGCCAAGACCUGGUGUCUGACAGGGCUUCACCCCGUGUUGAAGGAAUGGCGACUGUCGCUCUGGAACGCUGGAAUAACUGGGGAGAAACAGACUAGACAGAUGAUCAGGAGAGGAAUUUUCUCAUUCCACGUUGAAAUCCAGGAAAGGCAUAGGCUAAGG
rnacentral:lncRNA from 1 species